rnacentral:rRNA from 1 species
UGCAAGUCGAGCGGAGUGAUGGUGCUUGCACUAUCACUUAGCGGCGGACGGGUGAGUAAUGCUUAGGAAUCUGCCUAUUAGUGGGGGACAACAUUUCGAAAGGAAUGCUAAUACCGCAUACGUCCUACGGGAGAAAGCAGGGGAUCUUCGGACCUUGCGCUAAUAGAUGAGCCUAAGUCGGAUUAGCUAGUUGGUGGGGUAAAGGCCUACCAAGGCGACGAUCUGUAGCGGGUCUGAGAGGAUGAUCCGCCACACUGGGACUGAGACACGGCCCAGACUCCUACGGGAGGCAGCAGUGGGGAAUAUUGGACAAUGGGCGCAAGCCUGAUCCAGCCAUGCCGCGUGUGUGAAGAAGGCCUUAUGGUUGUAAAGCACUUUAAGCGAGGAGGAGGCUACUCUAGUUAAUACCUAGAGAUAGUGGACGUUACUCGCAGAAUAAGCACCGGCUAACUCUGUGCCAGCAGCCGCGGUAAUACAGAGGGUGCAAGCGUUAAUCGGAUUUACUGGGCGUAAAGCGCGCGUAGGCGGCUAAUUAAGUCAAAUGUGAAAUCCCCGAGCUUAACUUGGGAAUUGCAUUCGAUACUGGUUAGCUAGAGUGUGGGAGAGGAUGGUAGAAUUCCAGGUGUAGCGGUGAAAUGCGUAGAGAUCUGGAGGAAUACCGAUGGCGAAGGCAGCCAUCUGGCCUAACACUGACGCUGAGGUGCGAAAGCAUGGGGAGCAAACAGGAUUAGAUACCCUGGUAGUCCAUGCCGUAAACGAUGUCUACUAGCCGUUGGGGCCUUUGAGGCUUUAGUGGCGCAGCUAACGCGAUAAGUAGACCGCCUGGGGAGUACGGUCGCAAGACUAAAACUCAAAUGAAUUGACGGGGGCCCGCACAAGCGGUGGAGCAUGUGGUUUAAUUCGAUGCAACGCGAAGAACCUUACCUGGCCUUGACAUAGUAAGAACUUUCCAGAGAUGGAUUGGUGCCUUCGGGAACUUACAUACAGGUGCUGCAUGGCUGUCGUCAGCUCGUGUCGUGAGAUGUUGGGUUAAGUCCCGCAACGAGCGCAACCCUUUUCCUUAUUUGCCAGCGAGUAAUGUCGGGAACUUUAAGGAUACUGCCAGUGACAAACUGGAAGGAAGGCGGGGACGACGUCAAGUCAUCAUGGCCCUUACGGCCAGGGCUACACACGUGCUACAAUGGUCGGUACAAAGGGUUGCUACCUAGCGAUAGGAUGCUAAUCUCAAAAAGCCGAUCGUAGUCCGGAUUGGAGUCUGCAACCCA